UACGUAGGGGGCAAGCGUUAUCCGGAUUUACUGGGUGUAAAGGGGGCGCAGACGGCGAUGCAAGCCAGGAGUGAAAGCCCGGGGCCCAACCCCGGAACUGCUCUUGGAACUGCGUGGCUGGAGUGCAGGAGGGGCAGGCGGAAUUCCUGGUGUAGCGGUGAAAUGCGUAGAUAUCAGGAGGAACACCGGUGGCGAAGGCGGCCUGCUGGACUGCAACUGACGUUGAGGCCCGAAAGCGUGGGGAGCAAACAGG
rnacentral:rRNA from 1 species